GGACAAUGGGCACUUUUGUAUGGGGAGUGUCCCAUGGAUGUAUACUGUUGAGACAUAUGUCGUUUUAAAACUCUUAAUCGUAGUAUUAUUUUAUUGUAUGGCACCAACCUUGGACCACUUGCAGGGACCGAGCUAUAUAAAAAAAGAAGUUGCGCAUAUAAGCAGUUAUAUUUCCUUAUACGCGGGAUAUAAAAAGUUUUAGCGUAUUUUAUUCGAAAGAAUAUAAAAAAUGCUUUAUGUUUUUUGUGUCAACACCAAUGAUAAAGUAUUUAAAGGGACACAAUGUACAGUUUUAAAAAAUCGUCAUUCGAAAAAUUACUUGAUACACAGCGAAAUAAGAGUGUAUACAAAUGCCAUGUAUAUCAUGUGAAAAGUAUUUUUAUAAGCUAUUUUUCGUAUAAUAUAACUGGGGUCAAAUCAUUGCAGGGACCAAAAUAAAACCAUUUAAUGAGUUAAUUAAUUGUAGUUAAUUACGCCUUAACUUUUCUACUCAACGCCAGAUGUCGCUCUAAAGCAAAAUUCUACUUGACGUAAAACAUUUAUACAUAGCGGUAAUCUCGUCAGUCUUACUCCAUCAUUUUAAAAAGUAUAGACUAGUUUAUGGAUUUCUAAAGUUAUGUCAAGAUGACUCUGAAUGUAAUAUUGUCAACAAUAAUUGUCAAAGCACGCAAUUUAAAAUAUUCAACAUUGUAAUUACAAAAUAGUAUAUUUCUAAUACGCUAUAAUUUUCUCCAAUCGAAAGGCACUCCAUUCCAUUGAUCUCAGAGAGUAUGCUCCUUGAUGAUCUUCACUAUUCAUGGGGUAGCAUUUUUAAGUUGUUCAUCGGACACUGAGGCCAUUGAAGUUUCAAGCUGGCGGCAUCAAAAUGGAGUACCUAGGUACUGUUUCAAAUAAAUGGGUGGUAAGUAAGUACAUUUGGUGAAGUGGAACUGCUGAUGUUGAUCAGAAACGGAACUCUUCCACGCGCGUGAUUUGUCUUCUUUGUUAAGUUUGUAGCGAGUAAGUUUCAAGUACCAAGGUUUUUAGGAACCUUUGUGUCAAGGUAAAGGUCUGACGAUGGGUUCCAUGAGGAAGCGAGGGAACACCUCAAAUCUUAUAGGCAUAUAGUCAUUUUGGAUUUUCAUCAAUACCUUAAGCUUUUUCAUUCCCACUUGUGGCAUUUAAUGAAGUGGAACUACUGAUGUUGACCAAAACGGAACUCUUGAACGCGCGAGAUUUUUCUUCUUUGUUUUUUUUUUAUGAUAUAAGAGGCAAACGAGCAGACGUCACACCUGAUGGUAAGCGAUUACCGCCGCCCAUGGACACCUGCUAAACCAUAGGGGUUGCAAGUUCGGUGUUGGCCUUUAAGAUUGGAAUACGCUGUUUUUCUUAAAGUUUUAAAUGUCGUAUUGGUCCGGAAAGUCCGCAGGCGACAGAUCAUUUCAUAGUUUAGCUGUAUGAGGCAGGAAGUUUCUAAAGAAAUGCACAGUUGAGGACUGCCAACCAUCUAAGUGGUGAAAAUAAAAAUGUUGUAGCGUAGAGCGCUGACGAAAAGAGGCGGCAAGGAUUAAUCCGAGCAAUUCGAUGGAACACUCGCCGUAAUAGAUUUGUCCUGAUAAGUUUGUAGAAAGUAAGGUUGUUAAGAAACAUCUGUGUCUAGAUCCAGGUCUGAUAGAUACCUCAAACCUUAUAGAAAUACGUAUAGUUUUUUUGGAUUUACAUCAAUAUCUUUAGGCGUUUUAUUAAAAAAAAAAGUUACAUUUAAUCAAGUGGAACUGCUGAUGUGUUCCAGAACGGAACUUUUCAACGCACACGUUUUGUAUUCUUUAUUAAGCUUGUAGUGAGUAAGGUUCUUAAGGUGUACUUAAUACAUCAAUAUCCAGUUCUGAUGAUGGGUUUCAUGAAGAGUCGAGGGAAUUCCUAAAAUCUUUUAGGCAUACAUGUAAUAAUUUCUGGGAUUUUAUUUACAUAUCAAGCAUUAUUGAAUGCUACACUGUCCGGACUACAUUCCCCUAUGGGUUCCAUACAGUGGUAGCUGGUAGGUUAAGUGUGUAGGUUUAGGUAUAAUUUUUAGAUAUAAUUUUUAGGCUUAAGUA